AAAAGUAGCAAUACUUGGACAGCGGCGAAAGGGAGAGUAAUACAUAGGUACGUACCCUUGGGACUGGGAUAGCGGCGGGAAACUGCCGGUAAUACCAGAUGACGUUUCCGAACCAAAGGUGUGAAUCCGCCUGAGGAGCGGCCUAUGUCCUAUUAGCUUGUUGGUGGGGUAACGGCCUACCAAGGCAAAGAUGGGUAUGGGGUGUGAGAGCAUGCCCCCACUCACUGGGACUGAGACACUGCCCAGACACCUACGGGUGGCUGCAGUCGAGAAUCUUCGGCAAUGGACGCAAGUCUGACCGAGCGACGCCGCGUGCGGGAUGAAGGCCUUCGGGUUGUAAACCGCUGUCGUAGGGGAGGAAAUUCUGGUGGGUACUCCCAUCAGAUUGACUGAUCCUAGGAGGAAGGACCGGCUAAUCUCGUGCCAGCAGCCGCGGUAAUACGAGAGGUCCAAACGUUAUUCGGAAUUACUGGGCUUACAGAGUUCGUAGGCGGCUCUACAAGUGAGGUGUGAAAGCCCUCGGCUCAACCGAGGAACUGCGCUUCAAACUGUAGAACUAGAGGGAGAUAGAGGUGAGCAGAACUGAUGGUGGAGCGGUGAAAUGCGUUGAUAUCAUCAGGAAUACCGGAGGCGAAGGCGGCUCACUGGUCUCUUCUGACGCUGAGGAACGAAAGCUAGGGGAGCAAACGGGAUUAGAUACCCCGGUAGUCCUAGCCGUAAACGAUGAGCACUGGGCCGGAGCUCUGCACAGGGUUUCGGCCGUANCGAAAGUGUUAAGUGCUCCGCCUGGGGAGUAUGGUCGCAAGGCUG
rnacentral:rRNA from 1 species